AGGCCUGAGGUCCUUUGCAGUGAGGUCACCUCAUGUCUGCUGCCCAUCUCCCCCCCAGCCCGCCCCCCCUCCCACACACACACUCCUGUGAACUCCUCCCAGGCCUCACAAUCACUGCUCAGUGCCUGGCACACAUGAAGUGCAUAAUAAUUCUUGGUUAGAUUCAAAUCAACUGCAAAGGCCGGCUGGGCCUCAGCAUCAGCAGGCCCACAUGCGGGGAGGCUCGGGCCGGGGGCUGCUCUGGGUGGGGGGAUUGGCCGGAGGGCGGGGCCCGGUCACAAUCCAGGAAGGACUCUGACUUCCUGGCCCGGGCUCCUCCCAGGCUGGCCUCUGCCCACCUCCCCGCCGUUCCGCCACUACCCGCUCUGGCCAGCAGGGGGCUCCCACCACACAUGAAUGAGAGGCUCCAAGACUGAGCUAGACUUGAGGCCCCCCCCACGGCGGUGCCUCGCAGGCACGGGGAACUCUGCUUGGAGAAGAGCCUGGGCCUGGGCUUCCCGGAAGGGGAAGCAGCUGGUCAACGAGGCUCUGCAGGCUCCAGCAGCCCAAGAGACACCCACAGGCACAGAUGAGCUCAGUUCCGUGCCCUCUGCAUGCUGGGCACAGUGGCCCCCUGUUCAGCCCCAGAGUCAGAUACCCUGGCUCUCUCACUCUCUGGCUCUGGGACCCUGAACUAGUGGCCUCGCCCCUCUGGAUGUGAUCUUCCUCCCUGAUGGGCUGGGCCAAAUGCUUUCAAUGACACAAACCUUUAGUGAGGACUUCCCAGUGCAAGGGGGUCUCAGACAUGGGCACAAAAGCAGCCCCUGCCCCGGAAUGGAUUGAGACUGUUGGAGAGGGGAGAAGAGAAGGUGCCACAAAAACCACUCACUGUGAAGGGUCACAGGGAGGCAGGAGUGAGAGCCGCCCAGAGGGGCUCCAUUCAAGGCUUAACUCUACCCUGUGUCUUAAGCAAGUUUCCUAAGCUCUCUGAGCCUCAGACUUCCCAUCUAUAAAAUGGGAAUGAUUUCAUAUAUGCAAGAUACUUAGAACAGUGUUGGGUACCUACUCAGCUAUGUUAAGUGCUAUCAUUUAUUAUUAUUAUUAUUAUUAUUAUUAUUAUUAUUAUUACAAGGCAAACUGGGCACAUGCUUUCACGGUACAGAACAAGCUGGGGCCAUUGGAGGAAGGAAGAUUCAUGAGGUCAAGAGUGUUGAAGAUCUGGAAGGCUUCUUGGAAGAGGUGCCCACGAAAGAUAAGCUAAGUGGAGGCUGGCUUUUCCAGACAACGGAGCCAGGAGGAGCUAGGACAAGGAUGCACAACAGGCCGGGAGGAAAAAGAGGCUCGCUGGGGUGAAGAGACAUGUCCAAGGGGUGCCCCACCACGGAGGCUCCGGAUGAGGAAGACAGAGACAGAAGUCACUGACAGUCCCUGGGCAUGCCUCCUCGUAUCCGGCCCUCGUAGUAGUCGGCAAGGUAGACGGAGUUAUUCCCAUUGGAGCGAAACCUUAAUUCCCUUCUCUUCCUCCUCCGAGGGACUUUCAUGGAAUGAAUAAGAGCCCAGAGAGGACCCCACUUUGACCCAAACAAAGUAUUUUUUGAAUAAAAGGUGCCCUAUGGAAAAAUAAAUAAACAAAAUAUGCUCAUUAUAGAACACUGGAUAAGGCAAUAAUCGGGAGAAAAAAACCUGAGAUCAAGAACGCCUCUACCUGGUCAUUAAUAAAAAUUCCAGGUUAUUCCCGGCUCACCUAUAAGUUGGAUGUGUUCACAUUUGGGCAAAGCUAAUGCGUAUACAAGCUUAUAACAUGUAUCUUCCUUGGACCAUGGACUUGACAGUGCCCCACGUACAGCAGUCAGGCCAGGCCAAGUUAUGCUGUGGUAACAAAGAGCCCCCAACAUUUCAGUGGCUUCGCACACAAGAGUUUAUGCCUUGCUCGCACUGUACGCUCGGUGAGGGGGUUGGACAGCGGUCUCCGCGUAUCAGUCAUUCAAGAAACCAGGCUGAGGAAGUGUCAUCCUGACACAGACUGGGUAGGACCCAACGCUCUGGCUCGCAUCUCAUUGGCCAGAGCAAGUCACGUGGCCAUGUAACGUCAAGGGGGCGGGGCAGCACCGGCCUGCUACCUGCCCUUCGAGACAAGAGAACAGAAAUACUUGGAUUGCCGAGCUAGUGCCAGUUACGUGUAGCGUGGCCACCUGUCCUCCUUCCUCGGGGCCAGGGGUUUCCUAGCCUCGAACACAGGACCGUUGGCGCUGAGACGGAAAAAGUCCUGGGCAAACCCUCACUGUGCCCUGUACUCUAUUCUGCCCAAACUCGCUCCUCAAUGACAACGGACCAUCUAGUGGAGAAGUGGCGGUUUUUCUCCCUCGUCCCCUAUUGUUGGAGACUUACAUUGUUUCUAAUUGUGCACAUUUAUAAAUACAUUGUCUAAAAUAUCUUCGCGAAUAAACCCUUGUCCAUCUGGC